CGCUCCAUAUUCUGGGACCGAGAAUAGGCGCAAGGUGCGCAUUUCGAGCAGAGGAUGGCCACCUGUUAGAAGAAGUACUAAUCUGUGCGUCCAUGAAUGAAUGUACAGUCCAGGGCACAAGGACAAAUAGCAAAAAAUAAAGCCCGAGUGGGACGGAAGAAAAUGACAUGAUGACCUCGUGGCAGCUGGAAUGCUGAGAUACCAGAAAAUGAGAUGGACCGUAACCCCGCCCCAGUCUUUUAUCAACCAAUCAAGCCUUGCUGCAGACCAUUAAGGGCUGUAAGUGCCAAGGCGACAGGCCGAUGAGGGAGAUUAGAACUACAGGAGGCUGACUACAAAAGCCGACAUGGGAAUCGUGCCGACUGGGAGAUGCAACCUGCACGUCAAGUAGCUGACGGAGCGAAACAAGCAGGGGAUGGCCAAGACAUCUCAGCUACAAGCCCACGUCUGUAACACCAAAUCCCACCAUCAGCUCUUCUGGUAACCAACAAUGGACAGUCCAGAACAAUAGAAGGACAUCCUCUCCUCCCACAAGGAAAAUUCGAUAACGGAGAAACCAGUUGGACACUCAGCACUCACAUUGGGCAGAGGCUGGCAAAAUCCUUAACCUAUUGUUGCUCUGACAACAGUAACGUACGAACUCUCCUGCCCAAUCCGCAACAGACAAUAACCCUAAACAAUGCCCAAACACACCCUUCUUCCGGACUACAGCCCGCCUCACAAAACCCUUCAAAAGACUGAAUGUUUAGCUAAUGACUGUCAUUUUUCUAAGGAAUAUUUUGUUGAAGUGUUGACUGCUGACCCUGGAUCCAGCCUUCCUCUUCAUCUGGGUCUGUUUGCUGUUUUUGCCUUGCUGUCUGAUUGCUGUCGACUUGGAAUAAAUUGUCAACUUGUGUUUCAAAGCCUUUUUCCAGCUUUUAAAAUGGAGUCAGUACAAGGGAUUAAAACUAUGGUGAA